rnacentral:rRNA from 1 species
GAUGAACGCUGGCGGCGCGCCUAACACAUGCAAGUCGAACGAUUAAAGCACCUUCGGGUGUGUAUAAAGUGGCGAACGGCUGAGUAACACGUGGGCAACCUGCCCCUUUCAUUGGGAUAGCCACGGGAAACCGUGGAUAAUACCGAAUACUUCGAGACUUCCGCAUGGAAGACUCGAGAAAGCUCCGGCGGAGAGGGAUGGGCCCGCGGCCUGUUAGCUUGUUGGUGGGGUAACGGCCUACCAAGGCAAUGAUGGGUAGCUGGGUUGAGAGACCGACCAGCCAGAUUGGGACUGAGACACGGCCCAGACUCCUACGGGAGGCAGCAGUGGGGAAUCUUGCACAAUGGGCGAAAGCCUGAUGCAGCGACGCCGCGUGCGGGAUGAAGGCCUUCGGGUUGUAAGCCGCUUUCAGCAGGGACGAGGCGAAAGUGACGGUACCUGCAGAAGAAGCCCCGGCUAACUACGUG